GAGUUUGAUCAUGGCUCAGGAUGAACGCUGGCGGCGUGCUUAAUACAUGCAAGUCGAACGGAGACUGCAGCGAUAUAGUCUUAGUGGCGAACGGGUGAGUAACGCGUUGGUGACCUGCCCUAAAGCGAGGGGUAACAGUUCGAAAGGACUGCUAAUACCGCAUGAGGUUACAGGCGUUAGAGAACUGUAACGAAAGGCGAAAGCCGAUUUAGGAGGGACCUGCGUCCCAUCAGCUAGUUGGUAGGGUAACGGCCUACCAAGGCGACGACGGGUAGGGGGCCUGAGAGGGUGACCCCCCACACUGGCACUGAAACACGGGCCAGACACCUACGGGUGGCAGCAGUAGGGAAUAUUGCACAAUGGGCGAAAGCCUGAUGCAGCAACGCCGCGUGCACGAUGAAGGCCUUCGGGUCGUAAAGUGCUUUUCGGGGAGACGAGGAAGGACGGUAUCCCCGGAAUAAGGAUCGGCUAACUACGUGCCAGCAGCCGCGGUAA
rnacentral:rRNA from 1 species